rnacentral:rRNA from 1 species
GUGGGGAAUCUUAGACAAUGGGGGAAACCCUGAUCUAGCCAUGCCGCGUGAGCGAUGAAGGCCUUAGGGUUGUAAAGCUCUUUCAGCUGGGAAGAUAAUGACUGUACCAGCAGAAGAAGCCCCGGCUAACUCCGUGCCAGCAGCCGCGGUAAUACGGAGGGGGCUAGCGUUGUUCGGAAUUACUGGGCGUAAAGCGCACGUAGGCGGACCGGAAAGUCAGAGGUGAAAUCCCAGGGCUCAACCUUGGAACUGCCUUUGAAACUACUGGUCUUGAGGUCGAGAGAGGUGAGUGGAAUUCCGAGUGUAGAGGUGAAAUUCGUAGAUAUUCGGAGGAACACCAGUGGCGAAGGCGGCUCACUGGCUCGAUACUGACGCUGAGGUGCGAAAGCGUGGGGAGCAAACAGGAUUAGAAACCCCUGUAGUCC